rnacentral:rRNA from 1 species
AACGAACGCUGGCGGCAGGCCUAACACAUGCAAGUCGAGCGGACAUCUUCGGAUGUUAGCGGCGGGCGGAUGAGUAACGCGUGGGAACGUGCCCUUUUCUUCGGACUAGCUUCGGGAGACUAGGAGUAAUACCGGAUGUACCCUUUGGGGGAAAGAUUUAUCGGUAAAGGAUCGGCCCGCGUUUGUUUAGGUCGUUGGUGGGGAAAUGGCCUACCAAGCCGACGAUCCAUAGCUGGUUUGAGAGGAUGAUCAGCAACACAUGGACUGAGACACGGACCAGACUCAUACGUGCGGCAGCAGUGGGGACUGUCAGACAGUGGGGAAAACAGCGAUCUAGCCAUGACGCGUGAGCUAUGAAGCCGUGAGGGUUGUAAAUCUCUUUCAACGGGGAAGAUUGUGACGGUACCCGGAGAAGAAGCCCCGGCUAGCUACGUG